GAUGAACGCUAGCGGCAGGCCUAAUACAUGCAAGUCGAACGGUGUCUUCGGACAUAGUGGCGCACGGGUGCGUAACACGUAUGCAACCUACCUUACAUUGGGGGAUAGCCUUUCGAAAGGGAGAUUAAUACCGCAUAAGACAGUAGCUGGGCAUCCAGCAGCUGUUAAAGAUUUAUCGAUGUAAGAUGGGCAUGCGUCCAAUUAGUUAGUUGGCGAGGUAAUGGCUCACCAAGACUUUGAUUGGUAGGGGAACUGAGAGGUCAAUCCCCCACACUGGCACUGAGAUACGGGCCAGACUCCUACGGGAGGCAGCAGUAGGGAAUAUUGGGCAAUGGACGCAAGUCUGACCCAGCCAUGCCGCGUGCAGGAUGAAGGCGUUAUGCGUUGUAAACUGCUUUAUACAGGAAGAAACGACUCUUGCGAGAGGCAUUGACGGUACUGUAUGAAUAAGCACCGGCUAACUCCGUGCCAGCCGCCGCGGUAAUAC
rnacentral:rRNA from 1 species